UCGGUGGGGUGGGGACUUGGUCUGGUUGAACGAUACACCGAAAGGAGGAGCUUCGUCCUGCGUCGGCGGUUUAUGCGCCAACGUUUGUUGGUGCGUGUCUAACAGCGUGGCAGCGGGGGUUUAGUUGGGGCGGUGAGUGGGUGCGGUGCAGAAGGGAAGGGGGGGGGAAAACUUCAGCUAGGAGUGCUUGCAUGCAUUGGAAAUGAGCAUAUCUCACUUGAGGUCUGGUCAGCUUAUCUGCCGGAACAGUAAAAUGUCGCUCUGCCCACGUUAGCUGUCUCUGCUGGCCGUCAGCCUGACAAGAUUUUGAAUUUCAACCUUGUUACUGUCCUUUGUAGGCUGAGUGCUUAGCGUUAGGGAGACCACACGGAUACGAGACCCUGCCCCAAGAUCUGAACAGCUUGGCUCUUUUGUACCAAACAGCUAAAAAACCCCUGCCAGAAGUGUGCUGUUUUCAGAGUCGGGUUUGAGGUCAUCUUCUGUGUCAGUGUGUAGGAGAGACCUGAAGAUCAUCUUGCGCCUCAGCUUGCCACAAACUGCAAACGUCAAAAUGACAGUCAGGUGAUUCAUGGCAGGGGACGUGGAAGGGUUUAGCUCCUCCAUCCAUGACACCAGUGUCUCUGCUGGAUUCAGAGCACUGUAUGAGGAGGGAUUGCUUCUUGAUGUCACACUUGUCAUUGAAGACCACCAAUUUCAGGCCCAUAAAGCACUGCUUGCCACCCAGAGUGAUUACUUCAGGAUUAUGUUCACAGCUGAUAUGCGAGAACGAGAUCAGGACAAAAUCCAUUUGAAAGGUCUGACAGCUACAGGCUUCAGUCAUGUCCUCCAAUUCAUGUACUAUGGAACUAUUGAACUGAGUAUGAACACUGUUCAUGAAAUCCUUCAGGCUGCCAUGUAUGUCCAGCUUAUAGAGGUGGUAAAAUUUUGCUGCUCUUUUCUCUUAGCUAAAAUCUGCUUAGAAAACUGUGCAGAAAUUAUGAGACUUCUGGAUGAUUUUGGUGUAAACAUCGAAGGAGUCAGGGAAAAACUGGACUCCUUUCUGCUAGAGAAUUUUGUGCCACUCAUGUCCAGACCUGACUUCCUUUCAUAUCUGAGCUUUGAGAAGCUCAUGUCUUACUUGGAUAAUGAUCAUCUGAGCAGGUUUCCAGAGAUAGAGCUGUAUGAAGCUGUUCAGGCCUGGCUACGCCAUGAUAGAAGACGCUGGAGGCAUACGGACACCAUCAUUCAGAACAUCAGGUUUUGUUUGAUGACACCAUCCAGUGUUUUUGAGAAGGUAAAAACAUCAGAGUUUUAUCGAUACUCCCGGCAGCUGCGACAUGAGGUUGACCAAGCCAUGAAUUACUUUCAUAGCGUUCACCAACAGCCUUUGAUGGAAAUGAAAUCGAACAAAAUUCGUUCUGCCAAACCCCAGACUGCAGUAUUUAGAGGAAUGAUAGGACACAGUAUGGUAAACAGUAAAAUUCUUCUCUUGCACAAACCAAGGGUCUGGUGGGAACUAGAGGGCCCUCAAGUACCUUUACGACCAGACUGCCUUGCCAUUGUGAAUAACUUUGUAUUCCUAUUAGGUGGGGAAGAACUGGGGCCAGAUGGUGAGUUUCAUGCUUCAUCCAAAGUGUUUAGAUAUGACCCAAGACAGAACACGUGGUUACGAAUGGCAGACAUGUCUGUUCCACGUUCUGAGUUUGCUGUUGGAGUUAUUGGGAGGUAUGUUUAUGCGGUGGCUGGGAGAACCAGGGAUGAAACAUUUUACUCGACUGAACGGUAUGAUAUUACUGAAGAUAAAUGGGAAUUUGUGGAUCCCUAUCCAGUCAAUAAAUACGGACAUGAAGGGACUGUGCUUGGUAACAAGUUGUAUAUCACUGGUGGAAUUACAUCAUCUUCAACUUCUAAGCAAGUGUGUGUGUUCGAUCCCAGUAAAGAAGGGACAGUAGAGCAGCGAACAAGGAGAACUCAAGUGGUCACUAACUGUUGGGAGAACAAAUGCAAAAUGAAUUACGCAAGAUGCUUUCACAAAAUGAUUUCUUAUAAUGUUGAGUUUAACAAAAUAUUUGUGGAAGGAAGGAAGGAAAGAAGACUUUCAUUUUUUUUUAUUGAGCAUCAAAAUAAAGCUCAUCAUCAUCUGUACUAAGGUACAACCAGGUUUAAAAGAACAAAACUAAACAAUUUCUGUAUUUUAUGUUGUCUUUUGCAUGCUUUUCCCGUUAAUUGCAAAGUAUUUUCAAAUCUGCUAGGUGUUUUUGUUUUCCCUUAUAUAUGUUGAAGAAUAAUCUUAAUGCCUUUGCAUGACCUUUUUCCUGGUUUUGUAUAGUAGUACCAGUAAGUCUGCCAAAAUGCUAAUUACACAUUUUCUACUAAAUUGAAAAUGAAACAUUUUUAUAUUCAAAACACUAUUUCUAUGCUGCCUUCUAUUGUCUGCAUUGUGUUUGUUGGUGAGUAACAUAUAUACACACACAUGCAUACACUGUAAAAACUAUAUAUAAAUACAUCUUUUUAUGUGCAGCUACAAUAUUAUGUUUUAACUAGUGCACAGAUUCAGCCAUAUCUGUUGAACUUAAGGUAGAGUACUAUCCUUUAAUGAGCUAAAUAAUUUGAAGUUCUUAAGUAACUGGAGGCCUCAUUUGGUAUCAAAGUAUCUUAUCUUUAGUAUUUACUGAUUGAUUCAGUAACUUUAAACUCUUUAUAUUGAUGCUACAUAAUGAACUGUUGAUAAUUUGUUACUUUAUAAAUUAUUUUUUAAAAAGUAAACACAUCUUACCUGAGUUUCUUUUAUGUUUGAAUGUGCUGCCCGGUCUUCUUUUUUUAUGAAAAUGGAAAAUGUCAAUAAGCAAAUGCUCAGCACUGCUUUGACCCACAGUUAUUUUAGGAACUGGAUAAACUACAGUUUGUUCUCAGUACUUUGCUUGUUCUCGUACUUCAAUCUGAGUAUUUUGUUUGUACUCUUAUUGAAGUGGUAUAAUCUUUUAUUAUUUUAAUUAUUGACUGCUAUGAACUACUGUGUUUUGAAAAUGUGGAGUUAGGUGGUUGGAUGGUUAGUGCCAUUUAUGUUUCUUCUACAAAAAAACCUACACAACUAUCGCUACUGACCUCAGAGUGCCUGAAAUGAGAUGUGUGGUCCAAGAAGGCUUUGAAUAACUCCAUUGUGUUAACUUGCAGAUAUUACUGACAGUAGAUUGGUAAGAAUUAUCUGCCAAGACAUAAAUAAUAACGGUAACUACAUUCUGAUUGUAGUUAAUGAUGUGAAAUUAGCCACUCCUAGAAUCUAAAGGAGAGAUUUGAGGAAGUUGAAAGCUCACACUUAGUUGAGGCAAAAUGCUGUAACAUGCACCUGCAUAUUUUGUAAAAUCUUACGCUGCUGUGUUUCACUUUAAGCAAUAGACUUUACUUUAUGUGCAGCAAUGCAAAACCACUUUAUUCAGCAUCUUCCAGUCAGAGAUCACUGUAGAAAAGGAAUGUACAAUACUCAGGGAGUUCAAAAGAAUGCACUUACAAAGGGACCAAAAUCACCCUAAAUUUCCUAUGUUAAAAGUAACACCUACUUGCCUAAACUACUUUUGAAAAAAUUGAUAGAAGUUAAAACAAUCUGUAAAACUCCUCAUACUUGUAUUUUAAUAUUUUUGUAGGAAUUACAUUCUGAGUUGAGAUGUGAGGAUUUGGAGCUAUAGGGCAAGUUGGAUUUUUUUUUUUUUUUUUUAAAUGAGUAAAGAUUAUUGAUAGAGUAUUUUCUUUCCAUAUGUUUUAACAGAAAGAGAGAAUGUAUGCCAUCACAGCUGUAGUGGUAAGUUACUUACGCCAGUAGUGACUGGACCAAAUACUGAUUCAGCCUUCUGAUGCAGACUAGUUUGCAGUAAAAUUUAAGUGUUUUCUAAUCAAAAUCCAGUUUACUGAAUUAGAAAUCUGAUCUACUUUCUUAACAGCUUAACUUAAAGCCAGCACGGCUUACACUAAAACCUCAGCGUCACUGUGAGACACGUGUGUGCAUUACCCUGCAUGGGUGCAGAGAGAAACUGACUCCAGUGGGUGCUGGCUGUGUGCAGGUAAAAAGGUUCUGCUGUACAUAGUUCAUGGAAUAUUGGGGCACAAGAAAAAGACAAGGGUUUUUUAAAUUGUUUUAUUCUUUUUGUCACCAACUCAUUUCUCAACAAAUUUAUGGGGCAGCAAAAAUGAAUCCUUCUUUGAGAAGGCUUUCAUGGGCAUGUUAUGUACAGUAGGGAGUACUUCACUUUCUUCUAGGGCCAGUCUGAGAAAUGGAUGGGGUUCUGGAUAUCUGGUCUCCCAUGUUUCAGGUGUAGUAAAGAGACAUGGCCAAGACUUUUUUAAAAAUAAUAGUAAGGAUGGGGGUGUUACAAGUUAAGUUUCUGAGUCUGCAUAUAAGCACCUUCUGAAGUUCUGUGCACUAAGGAACUGCCACUAAAGUCAUUGGUGAGUAUUGACACUUGAAACAUGAAGAACCAGAUCACUUUUAGGUGCUCUGCGUUUAAGUUCAUAUUUAUCUUCAGGCGCUCAGUUCUGAAAGAUCUUGUUCAGGACUGUGAGAGUAAUUAUUCUGUGAAAUUCUAACAUGAACUGUUGGUUUCAACUUCCCUGAAGUUGUGUCUCCGUUAAGAAGCUGGCUGUAACCUUUGGAGCAUUAGGAAUCAUUGGAAUUUGCUUGGGUUUAGAACAUUGGGGGGGGUUAUGCAAGAAUGUUUUGUUAAUUUACAUUUCUACUGUGCUUUAUUGUUUCAAACAUGAAAUAUAAAAUUAGCUUACAUUCUCUUCCAUUGCAGUGGAACUUUUGAGGCAGUUAUUUUUGUUACUUCAUAUAUCAGAGGGAUUUUUUUUUUUUAAUGGAAAGUUACUGUUUGUGUUUGCUUUUAGUAUUUAGCUGCAGAUAAUUUAGAGUUUAAAUAAAAACGGAACUAAACUGGCUAAUAAAAAUUGCCUGUUACUAUGAAAUUUUAAUCAUUAUGAUCAGAUUAAUGUGAGUUUUAAAAAACUUUAAAUGCCUCUCAUUUGUCACAGAAAAGGUAAGUUAUGAUCUUUGACUAGUAAAGUUUGCAGGUGUUUCUUCUUCUGUUCCCACCCCAAUCGUAAUGGAAUACCAGCAAAUCUGAUCUCGCCCUCGUUUUUAAAAUUUAACACACGACCUGCUUUUGAACAGCAAGUGUACUUGCCUUUUCUUAAAAGGGUGGACAUAGUGAGUUACAGUGUGGGGUUUUUUUUCACAUUUAUAGCAAAAAUACACCAUCUUCAUGUCUUAAUUUAGCAGCUAGCUCUGGGAGGAAAUUUUGGUUUCAAAUGAGCCAGAAUGGACAAAAAAGCAUAGGGGGUUGUACAGGACAAAAAUGGUCAGAAAGCAUAGGCUCCUGAAAAGGGGCUGGACACUGCCAGUUGCCAUUCCGCAUGCUGCUGUAUCUGUUUUUAUAGGACAGAUAUUUUUUUUCGAAGUACUGCAUAAGUAAAAAAGCUGGGGUUUUUUUCCCCACGAAGUGUUGUAGCACUUUCGUAGUGGGAGGUACUAGGUGGCAAAAAAACCUUUUGAAAUUUUUCCCCACAUUGAUUCCACUGGAGGAAGGCAGUACUUGAUUUUACAAAGGCUCUGCUAUUUCAGAAAGCACUGCUAGCGAGAGGGCCUGGCAUGAGCAUGUGAGCUACGUGGCACCCGCUUUUGUGUUACUUCCUUUGGAAAGUGGGUGCCCUACCUUGUGCAGUAUGAUAGCGCUCCUGCUACAACUAGCUCUAAGGAUUUGUGACUUUAAUAUUUCUUUGGUUUCUGAGAUUUGCAGCCAUUUUUUCUUGAGGACCUCCUGCCUUACAAACCCCUGUGCUGCGUUUUUUCAUGCUGAUAAUAUGGUAACUACUUACAUCAGCGAUGAAGCUUCACCUGACUCUCAGGAAGCAAAGGAUAAAAUUCAGCAGGUACAAAUUCAAAUCUGUUUAAAAAGAAAAACAUCGCUUAACUCAUUAUGUCCAUUCUUUUGCAAAAGGAGAGUAAGCAUUAUGGGGAGAUGUUAACAGUUCUUUAAAAAUAAAGGUAAAGCUUGUGUCAGCAUUUAUACGACAGUCUUUUUAGAAAUAGUCGCAUUUGUAGAGGUCUUUUGCCUUUUUAAUAUUUUUUUCCUCACAAAAAAAGAAAGUAGUGAAUCAGGCCCCUGAUUCUUUUAACACUUCAAAUGUGUACUUCAUAUAUGUGAAGAGUCCAAUAUAAAGGAAACAGAAAACUGCAAGGUACUUAAAACAUACAAAAAUGCAAAUGUUACUAAACUUGUGCUUAAGUGUUUAUAGGGUUGGGGGCAUCAAAGAAAUCACCCAUCCUGCUCCCCUUCCGUCAAUAAAAAUAUAGCUGGUGAAGUUGCUUGCGUAAGCGUGGUCCAUGAUGUGUGGCAGGGCUUGCUGAAGGAGAGUGGGAAGGAGUAUAACUGGAAAGCAUGUGUAAUCUAUUUAAAACAAAGCUUGCUGGUGUCCUGUAGCUAACAUUUUUGAGAUUUUAAUGUUUGUAAAACAAUCUGAAGCUGCUUGAAGUAAAUACUAAGGACUACUUUUGCAUCUGUAUUCUAUUUUUGAAAGUUGGCGAGUAACUUGAAAAUUUCCAUUCGUGUGGGUAAGCUUCAUAAAACAUAGUUGUAUGUGGCAGGUGGCAGAAAAACUGACUUGUUUUGAGCACAGCUUUCCUAGAUUUCCCUCUACUACUAUUUUUUUUCCACUUCCCAAGUUUCAAUUAAUGUUUAAUGUAGUCUUUUCAAAAUAACUUUCAAAGAUCAAUUUCAAAUACUUUUGGAUUAAUAUUAAGUUGGUAGCUAGGGGAAAACCACUUCUAUUUGCAGAUGGUCGGUUUUAUUUAUGGCUCUGGUAGAAAACCUUAUUGCAAGUCUAGAAAAUACAGUGUUAAUGUAGGACUGUAAAGUUAGCUAUACUUAGGGGGCUUUUAUUACCUCAGUGGGACCCACCUAACUUUUCUGUCAGUUUUAGGGAAUGGGUGAAGGGAAGAGUGAGCUAUGUUUUUAUUUUAAAUAUUUUUCCCUAUAUAUUGUUAUUUUUGUAGCUCUUUUUAAAAUAAAUUAUUAUAUGCUGGAGAUUGCAAUUCCACUAUAGUAUCCCACUUGAUUCCAGUGUACAAUAUCAGAUUGUUUGUAUUGAAAAGAAUGUAUUUGAUAAGUAUUUGAUAAGAUAACAGGAAAAGUUAUUUUCAAACAGUGCUGUGGUUGUGUCUAGCAAUUGGAAAUACUUUUUCCUAGAGAAAAUUAAAAUUAUAUCUAUAUGACCUCAUAUGUACAUUUGGAAUAACUGUCUAAUGAUUACCCCAGGGCUGCUAUAACCUUCUCGGAAUAAUUUAAGAAUUGCCUCUUUUUAACUGUUUUAAAGCCUUUUUUCCUUGUCUUUUUUUGGCAGAAAGUAAUUUUCCCUAGCUAUGGAUACAGUAUGCUCAGACUUGCAUAUGUGUUCUGUUUGGGUUUUAAACUGAAAAAAGUGUAUAAAAUGUGUAUAAAGAAAAAUGUAAAUAAAAUAUUUUUAAUCUUUAAACACUCUUGGUGUAAACUUUGUAGUACUGAAAGUGUGGUGGACCUGGAUUACUCUCUACAGGACUUCAGAGUUUACUCUGUUAAGCAACUCUUCAAAAAUGUUGUGUUGCUAUAACUCAUAACAUUGUGUUGAAGUUUUUAUCCCAACAAGAAAAGUUGGAUGUCCUUACACAGCAUCAAGCUCCUUUCUUUAGCUGUACUUCAGAAUCUUCCCGAUUUUAAUUGCUGUAGUGCAUUCAUGUGUCUACUCUGCAUUUCAAGCUUGAAACAGUGUUCAGAGUUGACUUCGUUACAUUUGUAAUUUGGUGUCAAGACACAAAUUUAAAUUUAAAGAGUGAAAACCGCAGCCAGCCGGGAGAAGAGAGUGUUCCCUGCUAUCAAGUACAGGGAAUUGAGGGCUCUGAGACAACGCGCGUUCAUCACGCGCUUGGACCUCAAAAGCGCCAGCAGUCCAAGCCAGACUGCUGAACGUUUCCAGUAACAGGAAGGGGAAACUUAAUUUCAGGAUUAAAAGUGUCAGAUUAGAACAACAUUCAGUACCGUGACUGCUGUCAUCUUCUCUUCCACUAUAUCAAUCUUUCCAUGCUAAAUGUUACUUAAGAGUUGGUUUUGUUCACCUUUUUAAUUUCCCUUCUCAGUGAGCCAGGUUGUGGUUUUGGCAAUACCUUUCUUCCACAAUGCUACACUGGCCGACUUGACUGACUUGUUAGCACCUCUGUAGUUGAUAAGGAAUCUGUGAUAAUGGUUCUGCUGUUUCACUAAGGAGAGUUCUCACAUUUUAACGGGUUCAUAGUUGUUCAUACUAAAUUCUUCACUUUUUUAAAAUAUACAGCCUUAUUUUUUGGCAGUAGUUCAGUCAUCUGUGUUCACUUGUUUGGUGUAAUAUGAAAUUAAUGUUAGUUUGGCAAAGGUUUUUUCCAGUUAAUUCUUUCCAGAUUCUUUGGUAUAAGUUAUCCACCCUUGUUGACUUGGAAUUCUUAAUUUCAACAGAUGUUCCCCCUUUGUUACAGAUUGUGUUUUGGGGUUUUGGUUUUGAGUUUUGGGUGGGUUUUUUGUUGUUUUUUUUUUUCUUUUCUGAUUCCAUCAGCAUCAUAAUACGGAAAAGGAAAACUGUUGCUUUGGGUGUUGCAGGUUUUGUAUUAGUUCUGUACCUUUUGAGUUGUUAACAUAGUCGUGGACAUGGGAUCCCCAUCCAGCCUUUAGCCUAUCCAGCCUUAUGUUUCAGUGUCAUCUUUUAAUCCAAGUGCUGCCUUGUCCAAGGCAACUUUCUUGGCAUGUGCAAAAUUUUCGUUCUUUCAAGGGAGAGGGUAGGGAAUAUGUGUAAAGACAGCUUCAAUUUCUUGUUUUCAUUAACGCUUUCCACUUUUGCAUUCGGUGCUUUAAUUGUGCUGAUAAGUGCUUUAGGUGGUAUUUACAGGUAAAAAUAAGCCUCAUCAUUAUCUCUGUUUAAGUGACCUGUUACUCUUCACUCAUCUAUCCAUCAGAAUGAACACCAGCACUAAGCAUCAUAUGCUGAGCGCCAAGCCUUCUAGGCCGAUGCUAUAUAAUACUUGAGAAACUAAAAAAAUACUCUUUUUGCCACAUAUCUCAAUGUCUGUCAAAUGUGUCUCCUGGUGGUGUCACCCUCGGGAGCAGUUCUCCUGUACCAUGGAUAAAUGUUGCUCAGUAAGGGUGCUGGAAAAAAAACUUGUUUUCUAAUGAGAUAGGUGGCUUUAAUAGUUAACCCCUUUAUUGCACUAUUUAAUUUUAGCAGACAGAUAAGCCUUUGGCCUGAACUGGCAGCCUCCUUUUCCACACCCAUUUUGGUGUGUCCUCAGGCAUGUUCUAAGCAUUGGUUUAUUUGCUUUUUUUUGUCACGUGGCUCAUCUCACAAGUUUGAGUUAUAUCAACCAUAUAAUUAUUUUUCUACGUGAGAAUCUUUCUCUCCUGUGCUGAGUUGUCUGUGUUAUGGGUCUGUUCAUAUGCGUUUCAGUACUACCAAUGAGACUCUCUGACUUUACCAUCCCUUCUUUGUCAAAAGAAUUGCAUAAUGCUAACUGAAAACAAGUAUUUCUCCGAUGUUUAACUGCCAUAGUCUUGGGAGAAAUUCCAAGGUGGUCAGUUUACCUUCCCAGACUGCCCAAGUCAUGCAAAGUGCACGAGACUGUGCUUGUGGUGGUGAUGCUGGUGUCAAUGCAAGGUGUAGCCAAAGUGCUUUCCCCUACGUUGGUGUAGUGAUGGCCUUCAUUUUCACUCCUGGAAAGUGAGAAACUGCUCUGCUGUUGCCUUGCGCCUCUCGGAAAACCCUCAUGUCUAAUUUAUUCCCAGGAAGGAGUCCUAGUCACUUGGGUGUCCUUGGUCAGCUGAGGAUGUUCCAUGGGAUUUGCCUGGUGUCACACGUGCUCUCACUUCUAACUCUGGCUCUUUACAGGUAGUUCUCCAAGGAUUUUCUUUAUCUAACGCAGGUGUCAACUCAAUACCAAGAACUUAUUUUAACUUAUUAUAAUGAAACCCAGAACAUCAAAAAUCAAAAUUUCAGAGUAUAAAACCUUAUAUAUAUACACACAUAUAUAUAAAUAAUUUCUCCUCCUCCUGGUUCUCGGUUCAUUUAUUGCAAACAGAAGAGUCACUGUGAAGUAAUAGUUUUUCCUGCACUGUUUCUCCUGACAGAUUAUCCAAAACACUGAAAAGAAUUAUGUAGUCAGGAAAAAAAUAGGUGAUGAUAAUUAACUGAACUAUAGCUUUUAAUUUAAUCACUUUUCAUGGUCUUAAAGUUGGGAGCUGAUCCAAUUAACAACCUUAUUGGAAGUGUUUUAGCUGAUUUCUGAAAGAGCUGGAUUUUUGGCUCAGUACGGUUCUCUGAAAACAAGGGGAGUGAGGCUGACCUCUAUAUGAGUAAAAUAAAUACCCCAGCCAAAGAAAUCUCAGUACAAAAUUGUUAACACCCAAAUAAUCAACCAGCUGUACUUUGCAGGAGUUAUGAACUUACAAAAUGAUCACAGUUGCUCAGUUUUAGUUUUGUCCUAGCUUUGCGGUUCGGAGAUUUUUAUUUUUCCCAUGGUAAAAAUUAAUUACAAGAAUGUAUGUUUUGCUAAACUUGUUAAACCGGUGUAGGAAGCCAUGCUUUCAGAUUUGCAGCCUUAUUCAAAGCAGAGCAGAACGCAUUAAAGUGACUAGAAGGGCUAGCAAUUUUCUAGCGCCUUAACUUCUGAAGAUUUAUGCAUCUGCUGUGGAUGGAAAUCGUCCAGUAUCCUCCAGAGAGAAUGCCUGGGACCUGGCAUACAAUUUACGUGCUUCAUAUUCCCAUUCUUCUGUAGCAACAGAUUGAUCCCUCAGGCUUUUCAACCCGUGAAAUUGCCAUCCCUUGAUGUUCAGCAAAGUUGCUCCUGUUUGUAACAGCCAGUUUCUCUACCUGUAUAACACCAGGCAUUGCUACACACGUACCAGAGUAAGAACCUAUUCAAUCACACUUGAGAAAUGUGAUGUUUUUUCUCAUCUAUAAAACCGCCAAAGCAAGCUAGAGCAUUGUGUUUUACCAGUGCCAGUGCCCUACUGUAGUGAUUUACGAGACCGAAGAGGAAGUUUCAAAUGCUGUGCUAGAGAGAAACAACAGUACAGGCAAUGUCACUCUGCACGCCACUACCCCGCACCCCUCUAGUUCCUACACCAUAAGCUGCAACUAUGCCAGCUGUAGCCCUCCUCCAUAAGGCGUGGGGGCAAAAACAUCAAUGGCUUCAGGUUAUGAGAAGUAGCAGGUGGUAACACUUGUUAAACAUAUAAGGCAUCACUGGGGGAAACGAUCUAAAUGGCAGUUUUCAUUAGUGAUUGUGAAAGACCCCUGCAACAUGUCCUAGAAUUCCCUAAAGGCACUUAAGCAUGCAUAAAGUUGGGUGUUACUCCUUUGUGGAAAAUGCUCCUGGAAUUGGAGCGGUAGUUGAAGGUAUCAGAGGCGAUUGGGUUUUGAUGAAUGUGAGGCAAAGGAAUGGAAAGGUGCAAAACCAGCCUGAGCCAUGCCAUGGUACCAAAGAGCGAGGAACUGUCGUAGGACUUCCUGGCUGAUGAGUACUCUCCACAGAAACAGGGGUUUAUGUCCUGAAAAGGGCACCUUGCUUCCAGUUUUGCCUCAUAUCUCUCCUUCUCUCUGUCAAAUACGGCCUCUUCAUUUUUGCUAGCUUCUGGUAGAGCUUGAGAAGAGCAACGUGUUGGCUGCGUGGCCACUGUAGUGGGCUGGUAAGAGUAAAAUGAUGAGGUGACUGAUGAAUUGUAUGGAAUGACGAUCUAGAAAAGAAAAAUAUUUUAAAGCCAAAUGUAGGCUUUUCCUCUCAAAAAGGGUGUUACUCUAGACUGAACAGAUAAAGCCGUGAAACCAAAUUCUGCCUUCUGGAAAUAGAAUAAUAAAGGUUUUCUCUUACACUCUUCUGUUACAUCAAAUGAUGGUGGCAGCAUCAGUGAAGAAGAAAUCUGGAGGAUUCCUCGUGUGCUGCUCAGCUCGCUCUCCCUUCUUGUUCCAGCUGCCUGACAAAGCCCCCGCAGAAUGGUCUGCUGCUCUUCUGGGCCCUGGGAUCUUGCACUGCUUCAAGCCCCAGCCUAGGGGGCUUGAUGGGGAAGCAAGUCAGAGCUUAAGCCAAGAGUUGACUAACAUAAGUAUAGGCUUCACUACUCAAGUAGACAAAUCUUUGCCCGUUUCUGAAGAACUUGUACCAUGCAAAAUAUCAUGCAGCAGGUAGCGGUAUGUGCUGCGUUCUCCAGCUGGUCUCUGCGUGUGUGAGCGCGUCAACAGCUUGUUAACAGAAGAAUUACUCGUCGGAGCUGGGAGGCAUUGAAAAACAUGGAACUACGGCUACUGAUGCCUGCAGUGAGAAGUCACGGAUUUGAAUUAGGGAAGGAAUGUUUGGGUGUUUAACCACGGUGAUAUCAAAAGUGAAACUAUAUGCAGUGUGAGUACACUGGGGUUUUUUGCAUGAUUUGUUUCUCUCUUCUACCUGUCCCCUGUUUUAGAAUAUAGGAUCUUUAUUUGGAAAGCACUGAGUGUAUUUUGGAUGCUGUCAGAUUGUGGCAAAGCUGAUGAGACAGCAUGCGCUGAAAUUCAAGUACUGGUUUACCCCAGAUGUGAAUGCAGUAACGCCUUUGCUGCAAUUAAAGGUAGGUCAUCAGGAAAGCACAAAGAGCUCUGCAGUGGCAUCUGUCCUUAACAUUCAAUUUACUUUCUGAAAGUAUGACUUCAGACCUCAUAGCUGCCAAAAUAGCACCUCUGACAAACGUUGAAAACGGACCCACCUGAAGUACAAAAAGCAAAAGGUAAGUUUUACUCCAAAUAAAACAGUAUUGUUAAAUAUAAAAAUCUGUUCAACACCCCCCCCCCUUUUUUUUUUUCAAGUUAGGAAGUGAAUAAAGUAGAAAGAAUGAAAGAGUAUUCUUAUGAAUAGGCGAAGCACACUCCCUUCAUAAAGGCACCGGGAAAGGUCCAUCAUCGCGCACCCCUAUAAAAGCCAGUUCAAUUAGAUGUUUAACAAAUACGUGCUAGAAGUGACAGGAACGUGAGAAAUGGAUCGUGUGCUUUGGAGACCGACCAGGAAAAGCUGUGUACCCGACACGUCACCUCCAACUGUGCUUUCUGCGGUGCAUUUAGAAAGCCAGGCUCGCAGCGUUAGGUGAAGCUGCUUAACAACUGAAAGUUGAGCUUAUUGGAGCCCUUGUGGUUGUGUAUUUUCUAUUGGCCAUGUAUUUUCAAAAGAACUUGAAGAGAGAUCUGCCGAACAGCAUUCUUCUAACUUACAACACAAAAGAGCUGUAAGAGUCACAAAAGCAGUUUAUUUUAUAAAGACCGUAAAAAUAAAUUCUAAACAGGCUGGCAAAACUGUAGUGGCAAGACAAGGUAUGAAAAAAUUCAUUCAUUUUAGUGAAUAAAAGGUGCAUGGAAAAAUGUGGGUUUGUUUUUUAAAAUACACAAGAUUUAUUGUGAAGGAGAACACCAAAAUAAGCCAGCCUUUCAGAAUUGCACUUUUCUAAUAAACAGUGUGAGUAGGCAACUGCAGAGAUGUUACAAACUCACAUUUUAACAGGAAUGUGCAAGGAAUCAAUUUUUUUUCUACUGUACCUAUAAAUGUGGGGCAAAUAAGUGUCAUUGUACUGCUAGUAAAGGACUGUUCUUAUUUUCCUGACAAAAAGAUUAAAUAAGCAAUCUAAUACAACGUUAUGAAAGCUCAGACUGUAAUGGCUAAGGCAAAGGACCGGAGAUCAAGUUUCUUAAAUUGUAUUUUUGCCUGGGCUGACAUAGUUUAUGAACUGUGGCAACAUUUUCAAGCUUCUCUGAGCUGCAGCUUUCUAAAGGAAAUAUUUCUUUGUCGAGUAUUUAGAAAAGCCAGUUAGCAAGAAAAGGGAAAAAUACUGGCAUGCACAAUAAAACUGAAACUUGGUAUAGGUUCUUAAAUGAGGAACAGCCAGGAGUUGAUCGUGGCAAAGCUCUUUAUUCUGCAGCCCCAGCAGCAGAAACUUCAGCUCCUUUCUAAGCCUGUCCGAUGAUGUUUUGGACUGUGUGUAAUCCAUUAUGGCAUAUAUUGUCACCGUCCCAGGGAAAUUUUGCAGAGACAAUCUUCUCCAGCAGUUAUUCCUGCCACCAAAGUACGCAGGGCUUUCGUCCAGAUUACUAUUGGUAUUGUUCCCUAUAAAGGUUUUUCCCGUUCCUUUUAAUCAGUCGCAUCAGUCACUUUAAAGAUGAACUUACACAUGAAAGAAAAAAAUGCACUGAAAGUGCUGGAGCUCAUAAAAUUGUUUGGUUUAAAAAAAUUUAUAAAACAACGGUUUGUUCUUUGGAUAUUUGUAUCUGUUACAUAACUGUAUCAAUUGCUGUGUAGUCACUGAAUAUAAAUUGUUCACAAAAAUAUGUAUUUGUAACAUAUAUACCAUUGUAUGUCCAGAAACAAUGGGAGUUUUCUUCACUGCUAAUGUACCAAACUUAAAAAGAGAAUGCACUUGAAAUAUGCUUAUGUCUGUCCUCCGUAAAACUGGGGAACAGCCGGUCCCACCCACAGCCCCAGACUUGGCUUUGGCUGCGCACUUACCAGAGCAGGCGCCGUUAUUCACCUCAGCGCCAUCAUUCCUCUGGUGGGCCCGCCUGCCGUUCUGAGCUUUGAAGGUUUUCUUUCUCUAACUCCUUGAGGAUGAAUAAAAUACAUCAAGAAACGCGACCACUUUGCAAACUGUCUGGUCUCUCCCCGCGCUCUCACAAAAGCGCCAUAAAAUACCGCAAAAUUGCUUUUCCACAAACAUUUGCUGCACCCCAGCUGCU